GAUGAACGCUGGCGGCGUGCCUAAUACAUGCAAGUCGAGCGAACAGACGAGGAGCUUGCUCCUCUGACGUUAGCGGCGGACGGGUGAGUAACACGUGGAUAACCUACCUAUAAGACUGGGAUAACUUCGGGAAACCGGAGCUAAUACCGGAUAAUAUAUUGAACCGCAUGGUUCAAUAGUGAAAGACGGUUUUGCUGUCACUUAUAGAUGGUCCCGCGCCGCAUUAGCUAGUUGGUAAGGUAACGGCUUACCAAGGCAACGAUGCGUAGCCGACCUGAGAGGGUGAUCGGCCACACUGGAACUGAGACACGGUCCAGACUCCUACGGGAGGCAGCAGUAGGGAAUCUUCCGCAAUGGGCGAAAGCCUGACGGAGCAACGCCGCGUGAGUGAUGAAGGUCUUCGGAUCGUAAAACUCUGUUAUUAGGGAAGAACAAAUGUGUAAGUAACUAUGCACGUCUUGACGGUACCUAAUCAGAAAGCCACGGCUAACUACGUG
rnacentral:rRNA from 1 species